CUACGUGCCAGCAGCCGCGGUCAUACGUAGGAUCCGAGCGUUAUCCGGAGUGACUGGGCGUAAAGAGUUGCGUAGGUGGUUCGAUAAGCGAAUAGUGAAAUCUGGUGGCUCAACCAUUCAGACUAUUAUUCGAACUGUUGAACUCGAGAGCAGAAGAGGUAGCUGGAAUUUCUAGUGUAGGAGUGAAAUCCGUAGAUAUUAGAAGGAACACCGAUGGCGUAGGCAGGCUACUGGGCUGUUUCUGACACUGAGGCACGAAAGCGUGGGGAGCGAACCGGAUUAGAUACCCGGGUAGUCCACGCCGUAAACGAUGGAUACUAGCUGUUUGGGGUAUCGACCCCCUGAGUAGCGAAGCUAACGCGUUAAGUAUCCCGCCUGUGGAGUACGAUCGCAAGGUUAAAACAUAAAGGAAUUGACGGGGACCCGCACAAGCGGUGGAUCAUGUUCUUUAAUUCGAUGAUACGCGAGGAACCUUACCCGGGC
rnacentral:rRNA from 1 species